rnacentral:rRNA from 1 species
GAGUUUGAUCCUGGCUCAGACACGAACGCUGGCGGCGUGCCUAACACAUGCAAGUCGAGCGCGAAAGUCUUCGGAUGAGUAAAGCGGCGCACGGGUGAGUAACACGUAGGUAACCUACCUUCGAGUGUGGAAUAACACAGGGAAACUUGUGCUAAUACCGCAUACGGAUAUCAACCGACGGGUUGAUGUCGAAAGGGGGCAUAGCAAUAUGCUCUCGCUCUUAGAUGGGCCUGCGUCCGAUUAGCUAGUUGGUGAGGUAAAAGCUCACCAAGGCGACGAUCGGUAGCUGGUCUGAGAGGACGACCAGCCACACUGGAACUGAAACACGGUCCAGACUCCUACGGGAGGCAGCAGUGGGGAAUAUUGCGCAAUGGAGGAAACUCUGACGCAGCGACGCCGCGUGGGUGAUGAAGGCCUUCGGGUUGUAAAGCCCUGUCAGCAGGGAAAAAAGAGUGCGUGCUAAUACCACGCAUUGUUGAUGGUACCUGCAGAGGAAGCACCGGCUAACUCUGUGCCAGCAGCCGCGGUAAUACAGAGGGUGCGAGCGUUGUUCGGAAUUACUGGGCGUAAGGGCGCGUAGCGGUCUUAUAAGUCAGAUGUGAAAUCCCCGGAGCC